rnacentral:rRNA from 1 species
AUUGAACGCUGGCGGCAGGCCUAACACAUGCAAGUCGAGCGAGCGGCGGACGGGUGAGCAAUGUAUGGGGAUCUGCCCGAUAGAGGGGGAUAACUGCUGUAAACGGUGGCUAAUACCGCAUAAUAUCGUAUGAACCCUUGUUGGAUUAGCUAGUAGGUGGGGUAAAGGCUCACCUAGGCGCCGAGGUCUAGCUGGUCUGAGAGGCUGAUCAGCCACACUGGGACUGAGACACGGCCCAGACUCCUACGGGAGGCAGCAGUGGGGAAUAUUGCACAAUGGGCGCAAGCCUGAUGCAGCCAUGCCGCGUGUAUGAAGAAGGCCUUAGGAUUGUAAAUCACUUUCAGCGGGGAGGCGUUACCCGAAGAGGAAGCACCGGCUAACUCCGUGCCAGCAGCCGCGGUAAUAC